GCACGAAUAGCAAUAUUUGGUGGCGACCGGCAAACGGGUGCGGAACACGUACGCAACCUUCCCGAAACAGGUGAAUAGCCCUCCGAAAGGAGGAUUAAUACACCGUGAGAUAUUGGUGUGGCAUCACACUUAUAUUAUAGGUAGCAAUACCGGUUUUGGAUGGGCGUGCGCCUGAUUAGGUAGUUGGUGCGGGUAACGGCCCACCAAGCCUCCGAUCAGUAACUGGUGUGAGAGCACGACCAGUCACACGGGCACUGAGACACGGGCCCGACUCCUACGGGAGGCAGCAGUAAGGAAUAUUGGUCAAUGGACGGAAGUCUGAACCAGCCAUGCCGCGUGAAGGAUGACUGCCCUCUGGGUUGUAAACUUCUUUUAUCUGGGACGAAAAAAGGGAAUUCUUUCUCACUUGACGGUACCAGAGGAAUAAGCACCGGCUAACUCCGUGCCAGCAGCCGCGGUAAUACGGAGGGUGCAAGCGUUAUCCGGAUUUACUGGGUUUAAAGGGUGCGUAGGUGGGCAGGAAAGUCAGUGGUGAAAUCUCCGGGCUUAACCCGGAAACUGCCAUUGAUACUAUUUGUCUUGAAUACUUUGGAGGUAAGCGGAAUAUGUCAUGUAGCGGUGAAAUGCUUAGAUAUGACAUAGAACACCAAUUGCGCAGGCAGCUUACUACACAGUAAUUGACACUGAGGCACGAAAGCGUGGGGAUCAAACAGGAUUAGAUACCCUGGUAGUCCACGCCCUAAACGAUGGAUACUCGACAUUAGCGAUAUACAGUUAGUGUCUGAGCGAAAGCAUUAAGUAUCCCACCUGGGAAGUACGAUCGCAAGAUUG
rnacentral:rRNA from 1 species